rnacentral:rRNA from 1 species
GAUGAACGCUAGCGGCAGGCCUAACACAUGCAAGUCGAGGGGCAGCGGGGAGUAGCAAUACUUUGCCGGCGACCGGCGCACGGGUGCGUAACGCGUAUGUGACCUACCUAUAACAGGGGGAUAACCCAGAGAAAUUUGGACUAAUACCCCAUAUUAUUAUUGAGCUGCAUGGUUUGAUAAUGAAAGACGCGAGUUGGUUAUAGAUGGGCAUGCGUGACAUUAGCUAGUUGGUAAGGUAACGGCUUACCAAGGCGACGAUGUCUAGGGGAACUGAGAGGUUAAUCCCCCACACUGGUACUGAGACACGGACCAGACUCCUACGGGAGGCAGCAGUGAGGAAUAUUGGUCAAUGGUCGGAAGACUGAACCAGCCAUGCCGCGUGAAGGAAGAAUGUCCUAUGGAUUGUAAAACUUCUUUUGUAAGGGAGCAAUAAGUUCCAUGCGUGGGAUGAUGAGAGUACCUUACGAAUAAGCAUCGGCUAACUCCGUGCCAG